rnacentral:rRNA from 1 species
UGGGGAAUAUUGCACAAUGGAGGGAACUCUGAUGCAGCGACGCCGCGUGAGUGAUGAAGGAAUUCGUUUCGUAAAACUCUGUUCUAUGGGAAGAAAAGGACUGUACCAUAGGAGAAAGCUCCGGCUAAAUACGUGCCAGCAGCCGCGGUAAUACGUAUGGAGCGAGCGUUGUCCGGAAUUAUUGGGCGUGAAGGGUGCGCAGGCGGCUUUACAAGUUGGAUGUGAAAUAUUGUGGCUCAACCACAAACGUGCAUCCAAAACUGCAAAGCUUGAGUUAAGGAGAGGUAAGUGGAAUUCCUGGUGUAGCGGUGGAAUGCGUAGAUAUCAGGAGGAAUACCGGUGGCGAAGGCGACUUACUGGACUUAAACUGACGCUCAGGCACGAAAGCGUGGGGAGCAAACAGG